GAUGUUGUUGUACAGGCUCUCAUGAAUAUUUGGUUCUCUUGAUCAACAGGAGACAGAAUGAAGAGAGGAGAGGAUGGAGGAGUGCUGCAAGCCAUAGGAGACAGAGCUCUGAUUCUGAGCUCUGCUGUGGACUGGACAUCGGAGCCUUAGAGAUGGUCUCCUUUGGUGGACAGAGGAGCAGGGAGUUGAGAUGGACCAGCACCGAGUUCAAGACCAUCCAGCAGCCAAUGACUAAAACCUCUCAGGAGCUCUAGUCACCUCAAAUAUCUGCAAACACUAUGGUUAGUGGGACCAAUGGGUCCUGAACUUCCCAGGAGGUGCCAGUGCCUGGACAAUUGGAUAAACCCACACUCAGGCCUUCUCUUGGAGCCCAGGAUGUCCCCAGAAGCUGCUGAAAACUGAGGCUCACAUCCCAGAGGAACCCAGAAAGGAAAGGAAUCUCAUCUUGAGGAUGCCUUGCAGUACAAUGCCCUUCAGCCGAAGCCCUAGAAGGAACCUGAAAUACACCACUGGGGACCCUCAUACUGCCCCUGUGGACUCAUGCACUGGGACUAUGCCGUGCAUGCCUAGGAACUUUGAAGUCUUGGCUGUGGUGAUCAUCCCUCAUUUUGUUCUUUCUCUCUGAAAUGAUUUAAAAGUUCUUGAAUAAAAAGAAAAUUCUUUGUGUAAUUAA